ACAUUUUUUUAUUACUUUAUCGACCACUCUGUUGAUUUUUUACCUAAAUUAUCCUCAGAUCUCAAAAUUCUUUACUCAUUUGAUGGAGAAGAUCUUUGUUUUCCAACUAAGGUUUGUAAUGAUAUUGUUUUUAGUCUUUAUUUUCUUCUCUCUCUGAUAUAACUUACAAAGGUAGAAGAAAAUCUAGAUUAACUUUGUAUUAUAUCGAUCUAUAUUCUAUAGCGAAAGUACGUGCAUGCAUGCAUGCUUUGUAGAUUGUACGAUACACUGCCAUAGUUAUCAUCAAACCCAAUCAUACAUAUAUAGCAAGUCAUAAUUUCAUUUUAUUAUCACAAUCAAUCAUAGAUAGUAAGUCAAGAUAUACAUUUCACAUUUUAAUAUGACAGCCACUCAUACAUAUAUAGCAUACAUAGCAAGCACGAUUACUGGUACGUAGUUUCAAAUUUUGUUAAGCUGGAGUGAAUAUACAUAGUAUAGUUGAACAUAUAGGAAGCAAAUUAAUCACCUAUUC
rnacentral:lncRNA from 1 species